GCCCCGUGCCUUGUGUUGCAGUUCGGGGCUGAGUUCCGGAGGUUCUCCUUGGACCGGCAGAGGCCUGGGAAGUUCGAGGACUUCUACAAGCUGGUCGUGCACACUCACCACAUCGCCAACACCGAGGUGACGAUCGGCUACGCAGACGUGCACGGCGACCUGCUGCCCAUCAACAACGACGACAACUUCUGCAAGGCGGUGUCCAGCGCGAACCCGCUGCUCAGGGUGUUCAUCCAGAAACGAGCUGCGCGAAUUAACGGCGCCCUCCACUGUCACGUCCCUAGCACGGCACCUGCACACGAUGAAGACGUUUGGAACUCGUGCACUUCACCCGAGGAAGCACCUUUGCCAGCGGCUCCAGGACCCCUUUCAGGUUUUGCUAAUGGCAUUAACGGGGACAGCAAAAACACAUCUUUCUACGACUGGACCUGUCAUCUAAUUCGAUAUAAGCUUCGAUAGGCAGACAAACGUAGAUGGCACAUUCCCAGGGAAAUUCGGUCCAGAGAUGCUUUACUGCUUUAGCAAGAAAGGUCAGUAGUAUUACCUGUACAGUGAACUUUUUAUAAAAUAAUUUUGCUGAUAAUCUUGUAUGCACAGAAAUUGUGUUUUAUUUUUAAUGAGGAAUGGGGUAUUUACGUACUCUCAAAGUACCUUCCCACAGAGUUAUUAAUUAAAGAGGAAAAGAGUCAUUUCACUGAGAAGCCAGGCAGACAGCAUCUUAAUCAAGUGAUUAAAGUGAACAUCAGUAAUGGGACAAAUCAAAAUUAUGCAUCACCGGACUGGAUGCAACAAAUAGUAUUUCAAUGGUGAGAAACCCUAUUGGAAGAAUAUAACAUUACCAUAUGUGGGUAGCAGCUUGCUUUUUAAAACAAAUGAAUAUUAAAUUUUAAAUCGAAGGGAAAUAAUCAUCUGGCAUUGUCCUGGUGGUGUCUUCUCCUCGUGGGCAGAGCGGCCUGGUGCACAGACAGCUGCAAGGGGAAAUGUUCUUUCAAGACUUUCAUGCUCAUCUCAGGGUUGAGGCAGACUUGACGUUAGAAAGCGAAAAGACUGUUAUGGUUACCCUCGAAAAAAUACUGUGUUCUCCACUCUUUGAAUCUGCCUGUCUAGCCUUUUUUUCGCAGUCACUUUAUAAAGCAGUGGGAGAGCAAGGUACAGACGCCAACUGAUCUCUCCUUAUGCAGGUCACAGCAAGGAUGCGGCUUGCUGAGCAACUUUCAGGAAGUGGCAAAGACCUGUUCUCUAUUUCCAGUGCAUGGGAAAUAAAAUGCAUGGUUCCACUGAGACGCAGUCACCUCUUCCCCGCCAGUUUAUAAGCGGGAAAACUGGCCUAGAGAGACGAGAGCUGGGCAUAGGUUCUCAGGCACAGUAGAAUAAGGUUAAACAGUUCAUAUACAGAACUUCUUACGUGUUGAGAAAUUAGUUUGAAGGUAUUGUUUAAAUUAUACCAAGUCCCUCACGUAUUAUGGGUAUUUUGAUCCUAGAAAUGAGGUAUGUUUCAUUUGGACAACAGUGUGCAGUUCUCAACAUAUUUAAGGAUUUAUUUCUAAGUGGGACUCAAAUAGAUAAGAACUUAUAGGUACGGUAACGUCCUCAGACGUUAUUUAUUACUGAAUAGGUCUCACACUGAAUUAACCAAGUUUAUCAUUUUAGUUUGUAAAAUACUGAACUGAUACCAUGUUUAAGAUUUCUGUAGCAACACAUCUAUUUUUAGCAUCUCAAUUUUUACCUUUACACAUCAAAUCCACUAAUAUGGAAUGGUGUGUGGAAGCCAAAAAACUGACAAUGGCAAUAGCUAGAAUUUGGCUAGAAAAUUUCACAGUACUGUGUCAUACGUGCAUUCUGCUUCUAAAUUAGUAACAUGAUAGAUGAAGAUGGUCACUGCCCCACCUGAGAAUAAAACAAAGUCAACAAGAACUAGAUGGCGACCAGGAAACAAAGACGCCAGAACCGCCGUCGUGACAACAUGCAGCUCCAGCCGAGGUCACUGAUUCUCUAGUAAGUUUUUAGAAGAGCACCCACAGGCCUGCAUUAGCACUGGGUCACGUGACCAGAGAGGGCGGGCGAACCGAUGACUAGGGCGUCCCCAGGGCAUUCCAGAGAUCCCCGCAUCAGUUACUGGUGCACACAUUCACUGGAGUUAUCUGAAAGCACCUGUAAAAUCUGGGCGAAAUUAGUUUUUAAAAAUAACCAAAAGUUACUUUCCCUGCAAAAUGCAUAAUUUCUUUAAAACGAUCUCUGAUGAAUUUCCCAUUGUUUUCAGAAGUCAUCUUCCACAAGACAACAAACCCUGGAUGAAUCUCGUUAGGAGGGCACUUUCCUUGUAACGAGAAGACUUUUAACUCUAAAUCUGCCUGAAAACUCUUUCCGGCAUUUGUGGAAAAAUCAUCUCUGGAAAAACUGCUAAAGCCCUAUUAUUUAUUAGUCAUUGCCAUUAGUUUACUUUUAGGUAAAUGGUAAAUGAUUUAACAUUAUAUUACACUUUCAUACUAUAGAUUAUAAACUAUAAGAAACUAAUUUCUGAAAAAAUAUAUUCAUUCAUGACAACCAAUUCUGAAUUUGUAUUUGAAAGUAUGACCGACCACACAAUGUUAGUUCAUUUAUAGUCAACAUGUCUUUGUGGCUGCUGAAGUUGAGUUUAUAAUUUAAAUAUUAAUAUAUUUUAAAUUGGAAAAGCUUCCCUUCUGAAAAGGACUUUGCAUAUAAAUAUUUUUGUUUUUUGGUUUAAAAAUAAUCACCUUCCUGAAAACUAACCUUAGCUUCUAUUUAACAGUAAUAUAUAUUUUUUUCCUCUCAAAAUGUCAGGCUAGAUCAUUUGUAUGAAUGACUAUUAGUAUUUGUUUUCAACCUGACAACAUGAUGGAUUCAGAGAUGCCUAUUAGAUAGAACAGACUUUUAUCUUAAUCUAUUUUAUAAGGUUGCCCUUCUAGAUAGCAGACCCCAAAUAUGCAUACAAUUUAGGCUGUUUUCAUGUGUCGUUACCAUAGGUCUUUGAGGUCGAUAAUGCAGGCAAAUUCUCAUUGUAGCUGUAUACUAUGAAAAAUCUGGUAAUGAAAUGUAGACUUAAACUUUCACUAACGUUUACACUUUUUACUGAGAUGGAUCGUGGAUCACAAAUUAAGACACUUCUGAAUUUAGAGCCUGCAAGUAAGUUCUGGGCCUGCUGUUAGUGCUAUGUUUAACGGCAGUCACUGAACAUGAGAGGAGUUUCCUGUAUAACAUCUUUAUUGCUAAAAUUAUUUUAAAACAUGUAGUUAUUUUUAAAGACUAAGUAGUAAUUAGAACAAAUUAUUGAAAAUUAGGAAAAUUCUAAGCUGAGAUUUAAUAACCACAUAACAGAAAUCUAAAUCCUAGAAGCCUAAGUUAGUAAGUUUGCUACAAAGUAAAGCUUCAUAUUAAGGAAUGUGUCGUGUUUAGGUAUUUUUUCUCACCGCCUCUGAAAAGGAAACUGGCUUGAGAACAUUAAAAUUAUAAUAACCAAUAAGAGAAUAAAAUUCAGCUUAAGUUUCAAAGCUAAAAUAAGUAUU